AAAACUGGGAUUUUAGGAUGUCUAAUCUGAAGAAAUGCUAGUUCAUUUUUAUCUAAUACCUCAUUCUCGAGGCCUUCUGCCAAUAAGCUCUCAUACUUUAUUGUUAUUUCAGCAGUGGGAUUUUUAUUUAACUUCUUAUAAGUAGUAGCAUCUCGAAGUUGUCUUCUUAUUUCAUUUAGGUAUUCUUCCUUAUCAAGGACUACUACUCCACCCCCUUUAUCUGCUGACUUUCUUACAAUACAAGGAUCCCGUUUCAGAUCUUUUAACAUUUGUUUUUCUUUUAAGGUCAAAUUUGGUUGAUAUUUUGAAAGGGGUUUUAUAUUGUAUAGGUCUUCGAGACACACCUUUUCAAAUACUCGCAUACUUUGUGACUUAAUGUGUUGGGG